AGUAAACUUAUGUUUAAGGAGGCUUUCUCACUUGCCUAUGGCAAAACUAUCCGUAAAUGACAGAAUUACAAGACUGUACCACUGGAACAUCGGGUUCGGCAAGUACAAGUGAGAAAGCCAUCAGAAGGAAGGAGAUGAAGUUGCUGGCCCAGCCUCUGAAAACUCUCAGUC